rnacentral:rRNA from 1 species
CUACGGGGUGCUGCAGUGAGGAAUAUUGCACAAUGGAGGAAACUCUGAUGCAGCAACGCCGCGUGGAGGAUGACGCAUUUCGGUGUGUAAACUCCUUUUAUAUGUCAAGAAAAUGACGGUAGCAUAUGAAUAAGCACCGGCUAACUCCGUGCCAGCAGCCGCGGUAAUACGGAGGGUGCAAGCGUUACUCGGAAUCACUGGGCGUAAAGGACGCGUGGGCGGGUUGGAAAGUCAGGUGUGAAAUCCUACAGCUUAACUGUAGAACUGCACUUGAAACUUCUAAUCUAGAGUAUGGGAGGGGGAGAUGGAAUUAGUGGUGUAGGGGUAAAAUCCGUAGAUAUCACUAGGAAUACCUAAAGCGAAGGCGAUCUCCUGGAACAUUACUGACGCUAAGGCGUGAAAGCGUGGGGAGCAAACAGGAUUAGAUACCCCCGUAGUC